AGUACAAUGAUAUUUUAAGAUACGGCAAUGUUUGAGGUCCUUAUUCCUUGUUUUGCUGUUCGAUGCAUGUGCGCCCCCUAACGGUCAGCACGUGUCUGUGUGAGUGCACGGUGUGCUUACGUCACAGUCACAGGUGACAGACAGGUGGACGCUCUCCAAGCUAGCAGAUAUCCUUUAUUGUCAGCUUGAAGACACGUCAGCUACGAGCUCAAGGAUGAUGUGGCAGUUCUACGACUCAGUGAUCCGGCAGCCAAGUCUGCAGUAGCCUGCCAAGCUCAAAUCUCCUCAAGAAACAUAAGAAACGGUCUUGGGUUGUGCUGGGACCGCUGCCCGGAGCAGGUGGCACUCAGAGACUGUCUAAAAUGGUGGGUCUCCCUGAAGCAUCGGACAUGAUGCUGACAGGCAGGAACAUCAGGCCACAUGAAGCCAAGGAGAUGGGUCCAGUGUACCAGCUUGUGGACCCUCUGGGUAUGUUCUACGUGUGGCAUUUCUUCACUGCUGAGCUUCACACGAUAGAUCAGAGUACUGUUUUCCCGCCAUCGUCGCCUGUGGUUUGAUCCUCCAGGCGACGGUGGGAUGGGAUUAAACUGGCAGGUCCUGAUCUGAAACCUGUGGAGAAAAGGAAUAUUAAAUAUCUUGUUCACGUC